AUGUUUAUUUGGAGCCAGAAUAAACAUGUACAGUAUUUUAAACCCUUCAGUCCCAGGAGAUUUUUUUUAUAACAUAAGGACCAGAUUUUUCUUUUUCAUCUUUAACAUAUGUUUGUUAACCUAUGAUUUCCAUACUUGAUGAACCUGCACAAGUUGUGCAUCCUUUUGUUCAGGACAAGGAGGCCCU